GAAGCUUGCUCUUGGGUGGCGAGUGGCGAACGGGUGAGUAACAUAUCGGAACGUACCGGGCAUGGGGGAUAACUAAUCGAAAGAUUAGCUAAUACCGCAUAUUUUCUGAGGAAGAAAGCAGGGGACCAUUUGGCCUUGCGCUGUUUGAGCGGCCGAUAUCUGAUUAGCUAGUUGGUGGGGUAAAGGCCUACCAAGGCGACGAUCAGUAGCGGGUCUGAGAGGAUGAUCCGCCACACUGGGACUGAGACACGGCCCAGACUCCUACGGGAGGCAGCAGUGGGGAAUUUUGGACAAUGGGCGCAAGCCUGAUCCAGCCAUGCCGCGUGUCUGAAGAAGGCCUUCGGGUUGUAAAGGACUUCUGUCAGGGAAGAAAAGGGCGGGGUUAAUACCCCUGUCUGAUGACGGUACCUGAAGAAUAAGCACCGGCUAACUACGUG
rnacentral:rRNA from 1 species